rnacentral:lncRNA from 1 species
AUGGGCUCCCGGCGCGGGCGGCGGCUUCACUCCCGGCCCGACUCCGCCGCCAUGUUCUCCUUCUUCCUCCUCCUCCUCCUCCUCCUCCUCCUCCUCCUCCCGGUGCAGCUGCAGCGGCGGCGGCUCGGUCCCGGCUCCUCCGCUCUCCCCGCGGCGUGGCUGCUCCCGGCGGCCCGGCCGGCAGCGAAGUGCUCGGCGCUGCCCCGCCGAGGGGACGAGCAGCGGUGGCGGCGCGGCGCGGCCCGUCCAGCCCGGCUCCCAGCGCCUCCGUCCCCGCCUCAGUCACGGCGCGGCCGCCAUCUUGCUUUCACCUCUCACGGCAGGCGCGGGGUCUCCCAGCCAGCGGCGGCACGGGCCGCCCGCCGCCUCUUAAAGGGGCCGCGGCACCAACGGCUCCGCGCCCGGCCGGGGGGGGGCCCACGCGUGUCUCACAGCCCCACAGCCCCACGCGUGUCCCUCAGCCCCACCGCACCGCGCCCGGCACCGCCCCGCCGGGAUCGCGCCCCGACACGCGUGGGCCCGGCCCGGCCCAGCCGUGGGUGCCGCCUGUGUGUGUGUGUGUGCGUGUGUGUGCACGCGUGGAAAAACCCGCGGCCCCGGGUCCCGCCGCAGGGGACGCCUCGGUGUCGUCCCCUUACCUGCCGCCUUGGUCCCGUCACGACCUCGCGUCGGGGCAUCUUUGUGCUGCUGAACGCCCCCGGAGCCAGCCUCCUGAAAAAGCUUUUAUUAAUUCCCGAUUUUUUCAAUUUUUUCCUUUUUAAAAAAAUUUUUUCCUUUUUUUUUUUCCUUUUUUUUUUUUUUUCCUAUCUGACAUCGCUGGCUCCCCCACAUCCGAGCGAGCCAGGAGUUAACUCGGCGGCUGUUGGACCUCCACCGCCAGAGAUAGGCUCUAACAAUUGCAAUAACAAACAGAAGCUGUCGAGCCUCUGCUCCUGCCGCUGCUGCCAGCACCCGAGCAUAUGUCUGACAGAUUUCCCCGGGAAGGAUGCGUCACAACCCGAAGUAUGCACAAACACCAGCGCGUUUCGGACCCCACAGACACAGCACUGCAUUAGAGAGCCCGUUGCAGAGCGUGGUCUGGGUGCGCUGGAUGGAUGGGAGCUCGCGGCAGUUUACCCACUAACGAGGCAGAUUUAUUUUCCAAAGUGUUUGAUGUUUGCUUACCAGAGUGAGUUGUAG